UUGAGAUAUAAUCUUCAAAGUGUUUCACUGCUACUAAGUAAUUGAAAAGACAUCUGUAUAAUAUUUGUCACUGUGACAUUUUAAAUCAUGGUUUCCUGAAGGGAUAAUUAUUAUUUCUCAUGAAUUCUUCUAAUUUAGAAAAAUAUCAGAUUCUCAGAUCUCUUAACGUUACUUCUUCAUAACACAUUUCUGAACAUUGAAAAAAUAACAAUCUGUUAUAAUUAUUAUGCGAAUAAUUGGAGUAAUGAAUUCUGAUGGUCAUUUUAAAAUUCAUUGGAUGCAUUUACUCUGAAGGCUUGUAGUAAGUGACUCUACAAAAUAUUGACCUCACUUGUGGGCAAAUGAAGAUCUAUCUUUUAGUUAAAAAGUGUUAACUUAAUACACAUCACAAGAGAAAGAAAUAGACCCCAAUUAAAGUCUACAUUGUUUCCUCUUUAAUCCGAGAACGCAAUCCUUACGAUUUGUACAUUGCAACAAGCCCUGCAAGGGACGUUUUUUCAACCAUAGAAACAAUUUUUCUGCUGUCGUUGCAAGAUACCUGACGUCACUGAAUAAAAUGUGUGUGUUUUUAUUCCAAUAAAUAUUGUAUUUGUUAGAAUUUAUCAUUUAUUGUAUUGUCAGGAAAGUUAACGCCGUAGUAUGCUGACAACACAGUGAGCAAUCGUUUUGCUCUUUCCUUAACUUCUGGCGAUUUCAAAUAUGGUAAUCAUUCACACUUGUUCAUGACAUCAUUAAAAUUCUUUUACAUGGAUUUAAAGAUGUGUGAAAGGCAUAACUGAUAUAAAAGUUGAUUGAGUAAAAAUUUGUAGUCAUGCUAAAAACAAAUAUAUUUGAAAGGCAAAGGCCAAAAAAAAGGUUUAUUCUCAAACAAUAGCAUUUUGUGUAUUAUUUUCUAGAAACACGUACUACUGUACGUAUGUUUUAAUUUUUAAAAAUGUUUAACUGUAAAAUCUUCUUCAAGAAUUUGUAAUCCAAUAUGAAGUUUGCAGACUGGAGUAUUUUUAACUACGUUAAUAUAGUUAAAUAAAAGUCAAUUUCCC